UAUUUGGGAGGGGGGCUCCCCGAACUGUGUGGGGAGCAGACGUGAAGGGCGGGUCUGAAGGACGCUGAGGUCAGAGUGGCUGGAGGGCCCUCAGCAAGGGGUGGGGUGUGGGAGAAAUGAGGUCGAUGAGACGAGCAGUGGGGCAGCUCCCCAAGGACUUCAAGGGCAGACAAGGACUCUGGGGGAGCCUUGGAGGAUUUUGAGUGAGCCAGUGACCCUGGUCCUCUAAGGCGUUCAAAAGGAAGGGCUGCUGCGUCUCUGGCGUCUCCCUCCUCGCGCAGGUGGAGGAGAGGUUUUCUGAUGUAAACUCUGAAACGAUGCUCUUCAGGACAUAGAGGGCGAGGCAUCAUUGCCUUGGGAUAGUCCACCAGGAGGACAAACCCCAGGCGACCCAGGAGGGCAGGUGAGCACCUGGUGAGGCAUGGCACCCCUGCCGAGGCCUGGCAGCCUGGUUCUCUGGAUAGUGGGAACCUCCGAGAAGCCCAGCAUCCUGACCCUGACCCUAACCCUAGCCCUGACCUAUGCUUGGGGCUGGGGAGGCCUCUUCCGGCUACCGAGCUCCCAAGACCCAGCCUGGGAAAGGGAGCCGCACUGCCUUCCUCUGCUUGGGCUGCCUUCUCCUCCUCUCCCUCCUCUCCCCUUCCUUCUCCAUGUCUUCCUGACCCAGGGAUUUUCCCUUUGUGCAGCCCGAAACCUGUGGAGGGUUGUUUCUCUGGGGCUUCAGGAGGAGCUCACGGAAGCCCCGCUUCACGUGAGCGAUUCUGUCAGUGAGACUGUCCGGGAGCAUCAGCUUCCAGCUGCUCAGCUGGCCUGGCGAGCAGGAUGACAAGCUGCGGAAACAUGACGAGGGCAAAACGGUCUGAACUUCCAGGAGCACGUGUGAACCCAGGCAGCAGGAGUGAAGUUUUCAUUGAGGACAACAUCCCGAAUGAAACACAGAAGCAAGCUAUUGCUACAGUGGCUCGAGGUCAUGACAUCCCAGAGUAAGGACAAGAGACAGAAAGGCUACCCUGCGGCGAAGCGUAAGCCUCUGGGAAAAGAGAACAGCUGUGAGAGAGAAGGAAACUGUACCCAGUAGACGCAUAUGGAGAAGGUGCCUAGAGGGGAACCUGCAGUACAUCCCAGCGCCAAUGAUUUAUAAAAACUCAAGGGGUAUUAAAGACCUUACUGAAAACCGGAAAACACAAUCGAGUCACAGAAUCACAUGCGGAGAAUUUUGCUGCAGCCUUAGGAGCAGUGAGAGGCCGAGAUGUCAGAUCAGAUCAAAGGCCUGAUGGCUUAUCAAGACAUAAAACAUCACCGCCUCUGUUUACGCAGCACCACUGAAGUUUCUAUGGAUCCCCCAAUCCCUCCCCACUUGCAAACCUCUGCUCAAAGUAUAGACUCCUCUGCUAGAGGAAGACGAAUGACCCCCGUGUAGCCCCUCAUAUAAACACCUGCCUUGUCUCAUUCCCCAUGCUGCUGGCUGGUAACUUCCUUAUACUCUCGCCCAUGUCCCAGCAGGACCAAAAGUGUCAAACCUACGUUGCCACAGCUAACCUAAGCACCUCCUAGAAUGAAGAGGGAAAUCACUGCUAAGAGUCAGUGCUGGCUGGUGCAGAUUCUGCAAGGUGAAGGGGCGUUGCUUGUCUCUGAGUGACACAGUGAAGCCACGUCACACCCAUGGGACGGUAGCAAAAGCUCUGCUCUUGCCUAAUCUCUUCAGAUUUUUCAUCCCAUGUGAAUGUAGACCUCUUUGGUCUUUUAAAUCAUCUGUUUUGGCAGUGUGUAAAAAUAAAACAAGUCGAAAUUCUGUGUCUCCCAUGAAAAAACAUAAUUUUAGCAGAGAGCCUUUGUAACUUAGGGCUUGUGGGGGUUUUAUUGUUGGUAAUUUCAAAGGCACUUGAUAUUCCCAUCUUGAAUAAUAAGGCAAACAGGACAAGCUCUUUACUAUUCCUC